rnacentral:rRNA from 1 species
UACGUAGGCAGCAAGCGUUGUUCGGAAUUACUGGGCGUAAAGCGUGUGUAGGCGGUGUCAUAAGUUUGGUGUGAAAUCUCCCGGCUUAACUGGGAGGGUGCGCCGAAGACUGUGAUGCUCGAGUGUGGGAGAGGUAAGCGGAAUUCCUGGUGUAGCGGUGAAAUGCGUAGAUAUCAGGAGGAACACCUGUGGUGUAGACGGCUUACUGGACCACGACUGACGCUGAGACACGAAAGUGUGGGGAGCAAACAGG